rnacentral:tRNA from 1 species
AUUGGUGCAACUCCAAACAAAAGCA